CGGAGAUCCUGCUCCGUCGCCCCAGUGUUCAGACUACCUGUUCAGGACAAUGCUGUUGUACAGUAGUCUGCACAUUGGUUAGACUGGGCAAGGCAAAGCG
rnacentral:pre_miRNA from 12 species